UACGAGGGGUGCAAGCGUUGCUCGGAAUUAUUGGGCGUAAAGGGUAGGUAGGUGGUCUCAUUUGUCCGGGGUGAAAGCCUUGAGCUUAACUCAAGAAGUGCCUCGGAAACGGUGAGACUGGAGUCCUGGAGAGGGUCGUGGAAUUCCCGGUGUAGCGGUGAAAUGCGUAGAUAUCUGGAGGAACACCGGUGGCGAAGGCGGCAUCCUGGACCGAUACUGACGCUGAGGAGCGAAAGCCAGGGGAGCAAACGGG
rnacentral:rRNA from 1 species